GCCCCGCCCUAUCCAGGUGCGCCCCGUGCCCCUCACUGUUCCAGUCUCUCUGCUCAGCGUCCUUCGCCAGGUGCUUCCCGGGCACUUAGCACAUUGCCCUCAAGGAACGCUUACCGAAUUGAACAUAACCGAAAGGACCCCAGGAUUUGGAGCCAUUCCUGUGCUCAUUGGAAGUAGGAGAUGGGACAGUGGAGACACUGCAGUUCACGGGGCAGAUGCUCCACUGUAAAGGUGAGGCUUCUCACACUAUUUGUGGUGAAGACUGGACUUCUGAGCUCUGACCACUGGGUGGUCCUGCUGUGCAUGACCAGAAAACAACCUCUGCCACAAGUGACUUCUUGGAGACGUCCACGUCACCCACACUGGUCUAUAUUCUGUUCAGUGAAUCAAGGCCAUGGACCAUGUGCCUGAAUGUUGUGGUAAUGCCCAGCUGCUAUAAAAGUUUCCAAGCA